GUCCGCACUGUAAACGAUGAUUACUCGCUGCUAGAGGGCAACUUUUAGUGGCUUAGCGAAAGCGAUAAGUAAUCCACCUGGGGAGUACGCCGGCAACGGUGAAACUCAAAGGAAUUGACGGGGGCCCGCACAAGCGGAGGAGCAUGUGGUUUAAUUCGAUGAUACGCGAGGAACCUUACCAGGGCUUGAAAGUUAGUGACCGACUCUGAAAGGAGUCUUUCCGCAAGGACACGAAACUAGGUGCUGCAUGGCUGUCGU
rnacentral:rRNA from 1 species